rnacentral:lncRNA from 1 species
AGUGACCACAGUGACCACAGUGACCAGAGUGACCACCUGAGUGACCACCUGAGUGACCAGAGUGACCACCUCAGUGACCACAGUGACCACAGUGACCAGAGUGACCACCUGAGUGACCACAGUGACCACCUGAGUGACCAGAGUGACCACCUGAGUGACCACCUGAGUGACCAGAGUGACCAGCAGAGUGACCACAGUGACCACAGUGACCAGAGUGACCACCUGAGUGACCAGGAAGGUGGCCAGCAGAACGACCAGCACGGUGACCAGCAGAGUGACCACCAAAGUGACCAUCAGAAUGACCAGCAGAGUGGCCACUGGAGUGACCAUCAGAAUGACCAGCAGAGUGGCCAGCUGAGUGACCAUCAGAAUGACCACUGGGCUGACCAGCUGAGUGACCAGCUGGGUGACCAUCACCAUGACCAGCUGAGUGACCGCCAGAGUGACCAUCAGAGCAGCCAGCAGAGUGACCAGCAGAGUGACCACCAAAGUGACCAGCAGAGUGACCAUCAGAGCAGCCAGCAGAGUGACCAGCUGAGUGACCAGCCGAGUGACCAGCAGAGUGACCAUCAGAGCAGCCAGCAGAGUGGCCAGCAGAACGACCAGCACGGUGACCAGCAGAGUGACCACCAAAGUGACCAUCAGAAUGACCAUCAGGCUGAGGGUCAGGCUGACCCCCAGAGUGACCAUGGGAGUGACCAUCAGAAUGACCAUCAGGCUGAGGGUCAGGCUGACCCCGCGGGUGACCAGAGUGACCAGCCGAGUGACCAUCGGAGUGACCAUCAGGCUGAGGGUCAGGCUGACCAUCGGAGUGACCAUCAGAAUGACCGUCAGGCUGAUGGUCAGGCUGACCCCCAGAGUGACCAGAGUGACCAUGGGAGUGACCAUCAGGCUGAGGGUCAGGCUGACCCCCAGAGUGACCAGAGUGACCAUGGGAGUGACCAUCGGGCUGAGGGUCAGGCUGACCCCCAGAGUGACCAUGGGAGUGACCAUCGGGCUGAGGGUCAGGCUGAGGGUCAGGCUGACCCCCAGAGUGACCAGAGUGACCAUCGGAGUGACCAUCGGGCUGAGGGUCAGGCUGACCCCCAGAGUGACCAGAGUGACCAGAGUGACCAUCGGGCUGAGGGUCAGGCUGAGGGUCAGGCUGACCCCCAGAGUGACCAGAGUGACCAGAGUGACCAGAGUGACCAGAGUGACCGCGGGCGCGGCCGGUGGUGGUACGGCGCGUGCCCCGACGUGGACGAGUGCGCGCUGGGGCUGGCGCGGUGCCACCCGCGGGCGCGCUGCCACAACAGCCCCGGCAGCUUCCAGUGCCGCUGCCAGCGCGGCUUCCGCGGCGACGGCGUGGCCAGCUGCGAGCCCACGUGAGUGUCCGACUGCGGCCACGGCUUCUGCUCGGGGCCCCCCAACUUCACCUGCGUUUGUCACCUGGGCUGGACCAACCCCAAGCCCCAAAAUUCCCAAAAUUCCUCCCAAAAUUCCCAAAAUUCCUCCCAAAAUUCCCAAAAUUCCAGCCAGGGGGAGGCCCCGGAGCUCCCCCAGUGCUCGGUGGACUGCGGCUGCAACUUCCACAGUUCCUGCGAGAGGAGCGGCCCCGGCCACUGCGACCGCUGCCAGAGUGAGCCAAAAUCCCCCGAAUUCACCCCAAAAAUUCACCCCAAAAUACCCAAAAAUUCACCUCAAAAAUUCGCCCCAAAAAUCCACCCCAAAACCCCAAAAAUUCACCCCAAAACCCCAAAAAUUCACCCCAAAAAACCCAAAAAUUCACCUGAAAAAUUCGCCCCAAAAGUCCCAAAAAUUCACCGCAAAAAUCCCAACAUUUCACCUCAAAAUCCCAAAAAUUCACCCCAAAACCCGGGCAGAGCUCCCAAAUCCCCGUUUUUCCCCGUUUUUUCCCGUUUUUUCCCCGUUUUUUCCCGUUUUUCCCCCAUUUUUCCCCCAUUUUUUCCCCGUUUUUCCCCAUUUUUCACCGUUUUUCCCCGUUUUUUCCCCAUUUUUCCCCCUUUAACCGAUUUCCCCCGUUUUGUCCCCAGACUGGACGGAGGGCCCGCGCUGCCAGCGCUGCCGCCCGGGCAGAGCUCCCAAAUCCCCAUUUUAACCCCUUUUUUCCCCGUUUUUUCACCGUUUUUCCCCGUUUUUCCCCCAUUUUUCCCCGUUUUUUCGCCAUUUUUCCCCUUUAACCGAUUUCCCCCGUUUUCUCCCCAGACUGGAUGGAGGGCCCGGGCAGAGCUCCCAAAUCCCCAUUUUUUCACCGUUUUUCCCCGUUUUUUCCCCGUUUUUUCACCGUUUUUCCCCGUUUUUUCGCCGUUUUCUCACUUUAACCGAUCUCCCCCGUUUUCUCCCCAGACUGGACGGAGGGCCCGCGCUGCCAGCGCUGCCGCCCGGGCAGAGCUCCCAAAUCCCCAUUUUAACCCCGUUUUUCCCCGUUUUUCCCCGUUUUUUCGCCGUUUUUCCCCGUUUUUUCGCCGUUUUCCCCCUUUAACCGAUUUCCCCCGUUUUGUCCCCAGACUGGACGGAGGGCCCGGGCAGAGCUCCCAAAUCCCCAUUUUAACCCCAUUUUAACCCCUUUUUUCACCGUUUUUUCGCCGUUUUUCCCCGUUUUUUUGCCGUUUUCCCCCGUUUUUUCGCCGUUUUUCCCCUUUAACCGAUUUCCCCUGUUUUGUCCCCAGACUGGACGGAGGGCCCGCGCUGCCAGCGCUGCCGCCCGGGCAGAGCUCCCAAAUCCCCAUUUUAACCCCAUUUUAACCCCGUUUUUCACCGUUUUUCCCCGUUUUUUCGCCGUUUUUCCCCGUUUUUUCGCUGUUUUUUCCCUUUAACCGAUUUCCCCUGUUUUGUCCCCAGAC